rnacentral:rRNA from 1 species
AUACAGAGGGUGCGAGCGUUAAUCGGAAUUACUGGGCGUAAAGCGCGCGUAGGCGGCUUGGUCAGUCGGAUGUGAAAGCCCCGGGCUCAACCUGGGAAUGGCAUUCGAUACUGCCAGGCUCGAGUAUGGGAGAGGGAAGUGGAAUUUCCGGUGUAGCGGUGAAAUGCGUAGAUAUCGGAAGGAACACCAGUGGCGAAGGCGACUUCCUGGCCCAAUACUGACGCUGAGGUGCGAAAGCGUGGGGAGCGAACAGGAUUAGAAACCCUAGUAGUCC